UUKUAGARRRKKUGAUCAUGGCUCAGGACGAACGCUGGCGGCGUGCCUAAUACAUGCAAGUCGAACGAACUCUGGUAUUGAUUGGUGCUUGCAUCAUGAUUUACAUUUGAGUGAGUGGCGAACUGGUGAGUAACACGUGGGAAACCUGCCCAGAAGCGGGGGAUAACACCUGGAAACAGAUGCUAAUACCGCAUAACAACUUGGACCGCAUGGUCCGAGUUUGAAAGAUGGCUUCGGCUAUCACUUUUGGAUGGUCCCGCGGCGUAUUAGCUAGAUGGUGRGGUAACGGCUCACCAUGGCAAUGAUACGUAGCCGACCUGAGAGGGUAAUCGGCCACAUUGGGACUGAGACACGGCCCAAACUCCUACGGGAGGCAGCAGUAGGGAAUCUUCCACAAUGGACGAAAGUCUGAUGGAGCAACGCCGCGUGAGUGAAGAAGGGUUUCGGCUCGUAAAACUCUGUUGUUAAAGAAGAACAUAUCUGAGAGUAACUGUUCAGGUAUUGACGGUAUUUAACCAGAAAGCCACGGCUAACUACGUGCCAGCAGCCGCGGUAAUACGUAGGUGGCAAGCGUUGUCCGGAUUUAUUGGGCGUAAAGCGAGCGCAGGCGGUUUUUUAAGUCUGAUGUGAAAGCCUUCGGCUCAACCGAAGAAGUGCAUCGGAAACUGGGAAACUUGAGUGCAGAAGAGGACAGUGGAACUCCAUGUGUAGCGGUGAAAUGCGUAGAUAUAUGGAAGAACACCAGUGGCGAAGGCGGCUGUCKGUCUKUWAACKAGCG
rnacentral:rRNA from 1 species